rnacentral:lncRNA from 1 species
CUACCUAUCUACGUGAAAAAAAAACAUAAAUAGCACACACGGACAUAUAUGAGCACUAUGAACGAGGCCAACAUCAAAUUUCAUCCUGUCUAUGCUACAUGAAAAAAGAGAGAGAGGCUGCGUAUAAGAAGAGCAGGAGGUUAUACACAUGACCAUGCAAACUGAGUAUGAUAAGAAUUAGAGUGAGAGAGGCUGCGUAUAAAAAGAGCAAAGAGGUUAUACACAUAACCAUGCAAACUCUGAGUAUGAUAAGAAUUGGAGUGGUCAGUAAGAAUUGGAGUGGUCAGGAACCGGAAAUAAUAACAUGAGAACGUCGUGAGAGCGUCUAACAUGUGAACGUCACGGGAGCGAAUCAACUGCCUCCCAACUGCUGCACGUG